rnacentral:sRNA from 1 species
UGCAAUUAGUUUGCGUAACGCUAUGGU